AACGCGAAGAACCUUACCUGGGUUUGACAUGCACUAGACAGCUCCAGAGAUGGGGUUUCCCUUGUGGUUGGUGUACAGGUGGUGCAUGGCUGUCGUCAGCUCGUGUCGUGGGAUGUUGGGUUAAGUCCCGCAACGAGCGCAACCCUUGCCCCAUGUUGCCAGCGGGUUAUGCCGGGGACUCGUGGGGGACUGCCGGGGUCAACUCGGAGGAAGGUGGGGAUGACGUCAAGUCAUCAUGCCCCUUAUGCCCAGGGCUUCACACAUGCUACAAUGGCCGGUACAGAGGGUGGCGAUAUCGUGAGGUGGAGCGAAUCCCUUAAAGCCGGUCUCAGUUCGGAUCGGGGUCUGCAACUCGACCCAGUGAAGUCGGAGUCGCUAGUAAUCGCAGAUCAGCAUUGCUGCGGUGAAUACGUUCCCGGGCCUUGUACACACCGA
rnacentral:rRNA from 1 species